rnacentral:rRNA from 1 species
AUUGAACGCUGGCGGCAUGCCUUACACAUGCAAGUCGAACGGUAACGGGCCUUCGGGUGCCGCCGAGUGGCGAACGGGUGAGUAAUACAUCGGAACGUGCCCGAUCGUGGGGGAUAACGAGGCGAAAGCUUUGCUAAUACCGCAUACGAUCUACGGAUGAAAGCAGGGGACCGCAAGGCCUUGCGCGGACGGAGCGGCCGAUGGCAGAUUAGGUAGUUGGUGGGAUAAAAGCUUACCAAGCCGACGACCUGUAGCUGGUCUGAGAGGAUGAUCAGCCACACUGGGACUGAGACACGGCCCAGACUCCUACGGGAGGCAGCAGUGGGGAAUUUUGGACAAUGGGCGCAAGCCUGAUCCAGCCAUGCCGCGUGCAGGAUGAAGGCCUUCGGGUUGUAAACUGCUUUUGUACGGAACGAAAAGCCUUCUUUUAAUACAGGAGGGUCAUGACGGUACCGUAAGAAUAAGCACCGGCUAACUACGUG